rnacentral:misc_RNA from 1 species
GAAAAAGAACCUGAUCAAAAGGGGCAUAAUGGUGAAUCCUAUAUGUGCCAUUUGUAAUGGGGGUAUUGAAACUUUGGAGCAUGCCUUGUUUUGGUGUGAUCAUGCUAGGGCAACUUGGUUUCCUAGUCCCUGUGCCUAUAAACCAAAUUUGGUGGUUUUUUCUUCUUUUGAUCAAUGGUGGACUAGCAUUUGGAAUGAACUCAAUGGUUAACAGGAUGGUCA